rnacentral:lncRNA from 1 species
CGCCGAUACAUCCGUAAACUUGGUGUUAAUGAGAUGUUGGCGAUACCUAUAAUGGAUCCGCCACUUGAACUUUUCCGCCUGUUCUGCUGCAGUCCCUGCAGACGUUCCCGCAAAUCCUGCCAACCUGGUGAACCUCGUCAUGAAAUCGGUAAUGGACUCAUCAUCCUUCUGCCGAAUGGAUAGAUACUCUCUAGCAUAGGCCUCUUUAUCAGCAGCUGGAAAGUACUGCUGAUAAAAGACCUCACAAAACUCUGCCCAAUGAAGUGUCUCCACGUACCCAUCACCCUUGGUUGUCUUCAGUGCUUUCCACCACCUCUGUGCAUCCCCCUCUAGCUUGUAAGCAGCAAG